rnacentral:misc_RNA from 1 species
GAAAUGCGAUAAGUAAUGUGAAUUGCAGAAUUCCGUGAAUCAUCGAAUCUUUGAACGCACAUUGCGCCUUCUGGUAUUCCGGGGGGCAUGCCUGUCCGAGCGUCAUUGCGAACCCCUCAAGCACGGCUUGUGUGAUGGGCCCUCCCGCGUCUUGGUCGUCAAGACGGGCCCGAAAUGCAGUGGCGGCUUCGCGGUUAUCCGAUCAGCCAGAGCGUAUGGGGACUUUCUCUCUGUCACACGCCCGCGGCGCGGACCGACGCCUGUCGACCUUCAUUCAUCGUUUUCUCGGUUGACCUCGGAUCAGGUAGGGAUACCCGCUGAACUUAAGC